CCUACGGGUGGCAGCAGUAGGGAAUCUUCCACAAUGGACGAAAGUCUGAUGGAGCAACGCCGCGUGAGUGAAGAAGGGUUUCGGCUCGUAAAGCUCUGUUGAUAGUGAAGAAAGAUAGAGGUAGUAACUGGCCUUUAUUUGACGGUAAUUACUUAGAAAGUCACGGCUAACUACGUGCCAGCAGCCGCGGUAAUACGUAGGUGGCAAGCGUUGUCCGGAUUUAUUGGGCGUAAAGCGAGUGCAGGCGGUUCAAUAAGUCUGAUGUGAAAGCCUUCGGCUCAACCGGAGAAUUGCAUCAGAAACUGUUGAACUGGAGGGAAGAAGAGGAGAGUGGAACUCAAUGGGUAGCGGGGGAAUGCGUAGAUAUAUGGAAGAACACCAGUGGCGAGGGCGGCUCUCUGGUCGGCAACGGACGCGGAGGCUCGAAAGCAUGGGUAGCGAACAGGAUUAGAUACCCUGGUAGUC
rnacentral:rRNA from 1 species